rnacentral:rRNA from 1 species
CCUACGGGAGGCUGCAGUGAGGAAUAUUGGUCAAUGGACGAGAGUCUGAACCAGCCAAGUAGCGUGAAGGAUGACUGCCCUAUGGGUUGUAAACUUCUUUUAUAUGGGAAUAAAACGUUCCACGUGUGGGAUUUUGUAUGUACCAUAUGAAUAAGGAUCGGCUAACUCCGUGCCAGCAGCCGCGGUAAUACGGAGGAUCCGAGCGUUAUCCGGAUUUAUUGGGUUUAAAGGGAGCGUAGGUGGAGUGUUAAGUCAGUUGUGAAAGUUUGCGGCUCAACCGUAAAAUUGCAGUUGAAACUGGCAGUCUUGAGUACAGUAGAGGUGGGCGGAAUUCGUGGUGUAGCGGUGAAAUGCUUAGAUAUCACGAAGAACUCCGAUUGCGAAGGCAGUUCACUGGAAUGCAACUGACACUGAGGCUCGAAAGUGUGGGUAUCAAACAGGAUUAGAUACCCUUGUAGUC